rnacentral:rRNA from 1 species
ACGAACGCUGGCGGCGUGCUUAACCCAUUCCAGUCGAACGGAAAGGCCCCUUUGGGGGUACUCGAGUGGCGAACGGGUGAGUAACACGUGAGUAACCUGCCCUUGACUUCGGGAUAACUUCAGGAAACGGGGGCUAAUACCGGAUAGGAAUCCUUGCUGCAUGGUGGGGGUUGGAAAGCUUCGUCGGUUGUGGAUGGACUCGCGGCUUAUCAGCUUGUUGGUGGGGUAGUGGCUUACCAAGGCUUUGACGGGUAGCCGGCCUGAGAGGGCGACCGGCCACAUUGGGACUGAGAUACGGCCCAGACUCCUACGGGAGGCAGCAGUGGGGAAUAUUGCACAAUGGGCGGAAGCCUGAUGCAGCAACGCCGCGUGCGGGAUGACGGCCUUCGGGUUGUAAACCGCUUUCAGCAGGGGCGAAGCUUGUGGUGACGGUACCUGCAGAAGAAGCACCGGCUAACUACGU